CUCCGUUUUCUCUUCCUCGCCGAACCCGUGCGCCCUCUUCCCUUCUUCUCUCACGCCGAAGCCCUAACUGCCUGCGGCAGUUUCUUCUCCUUCUCUUCCUCUCCCGAGCGCCGGCCGCCGGCAAGUAUUCCGUGCCCUAGUUUUCCUCCGGUCUCCCCUGUGCUCUAGCGCCGACACCGAUCCAGCGCCCCCGCCGGUCGAGCCACCUUUCCGAUCCAUUCUUCAUUGCGCCGCCGCCGUCGAACCUCCUGAUUCCCCUCUGCCUAGUGUGGGCAGCCGUUCUCUUCAUCUCUGCCCAAGUGUCGUCGGCCACAGAAACCUCAGCGCCGCCACUGCAAAGGAGUUGGCAUCGCAGCCACCUAGGGCCGGCCAUCACCCUCUUCCCUUCCUCUCUGCCCUAGCCGUCUCCACACGAUCGUCUGAUUUCCGUUGUCUCUGUGUGCCACUGCCGGUCCAUCGCCAGUGUUCCCGUGCCAUGACAGUGAUCCUCAAGUGAGGUGUGUUUGGGCUGUCGGGCAGAAUCUAGAAGGUGGUUGCUUGAUUAGUGACCUCCUGUUUGAUUCGGUUGAUAUCGGUAAGGAAAGAUUUUAGCAAGAUUAUGUGUUGUGGGUUGCUCUUUGAUCCAGCAGCACCUUGGAUUCGAUUGGACCUCUUUCAGGCAGUACACGUUUGGGUUGAGCUUGAGGACUCUGACGCGAGACGAGUAUCUCGACGUCGUAUUUGGACCAGAUUGGACUUUUC